AUAAGUUGUCAAUCCAAUCAUGUGAACUCCUUGUUACAGGAAGCAGCAGCCACUGAAGUCGACGAUUUUUUCAAAGAAAAGUCAAUUUAUAUUAUAAAUUUCAGAUGAAGAGAUAAGAUCCACUUUCACAUCUUUGGAUUUUGUCGCUGGCCUACCUCGGUUGAUAUUUUCCAAAAUGGCAAAAUCCAAGGCAAGGACGCCUGGAGUAUCCCCACAUGCAGUGGUGAUUUGAUCCACUUUCAUAUCGUCGGUUUGAGUAUAAGAGUAGGUUGGACAGAACUGGUUAUGUCCUGGAAGUUUUUUUUAUUUGGCGCAUAAACUCGGGAUCGGGCAUAAAUUUGGCGCAGUAGUUAGUAAUACAAGAAAGAUGUGCAUAGUAGCUUUACUACAAGAAUAUGGAGUAUCGGUAGCGUUCAAAAAACGCUAUUUAAUUAUACUAUAACGUUAUUAGAAACGCUCUAUCAUCGUCCGUCAUAAAAGCAGCAUCUCCAAUCUUUGAAACUUCUACACAUACCUUGCUCGCAUUUGGACUUAGGGGCAUAUGAUGGACUGUAUCUGAAGGGUUAGAGAUUUGAUGGUGCUAGCAGUACUGUUACUUAAGCUCUACAAGAAUCAAAAAUAAUACCAAGCAUUCAGGCGAUGGUCUUUUCUAGGCUGUAAGUUAAAGUGCAGAAAUUUACCAGUGGAGGUGAUGGUCUUUUAUCUGGUGAUGUUGUUUCAUACAGUGGAGGAGAUGAAUUCACAUAUUGUAUACUAUGAAGUGGCCAUGCAAUGUUCUCAUUUAGUACAUCUCCCAUAACAAACUUUCCUAGACUUGGUCUCCACAAAUAUGCGGCUUUGUUAAACACCUUUUCAACCUUAACAAUUGCAGCAGAAGGACCAAGAGGCAUAUUGUUCACAAGUUCUUUUCAGUCUGUUGAACACAAUCGACCCUCACCAACCACAGAAUCAGCCAUAUUCCAAUCAAUUAUGAUGAUUUUAACGGUUGAUGAAUCUUUAGCCUAAAGCAUGAUGCAUAAAUAAUAAGUGAUUGGGUAUAGUGUUUAGGUUCAGCUAGAUAAUUGACAAGUGAUGGGAAAAAGACAUUACCGAAGAUCCUGCAGUCUGAUUCUCAGAAGGGGAAGAUACAUCACUGUCUAGAAUGAUCUUAUCGAAAGGCCAGACAAUCUUGUUCCUUAAAGCUUCACCAAGUGUGAAAACUGAUGGUGUAGGCCUCCACAAAGAAGCUGUGGCGUCUAACACUGACUUCGCAAUAACAGCCGCAACAUUACGUCCAAGUGGAAUACGACCAAUCUUGUACAUUUGUUUAGCAGAGCAGAAUUCUCCUUCACCUACAACAACAUCAUCAUCUGAACACCAAUCAAGUAGCUGACAUCGAACUCAUGCACUAACAUUACUAGCCUCAGACUUAGAAACCUCUUCAACAUGUUCCUGACAAAAAACAAUGGAAUUUGUGACAUUUAAACAUUCAAUUUUGCUUAAUAGCACAAGUGUAUUCAAUUAGAUA
rnacentral:misc_RNA from 1 species